rnacentral:tRNA from 1 species
GUUCGAGCCCUGUUUUUCUA